rnacentral:rRNA from 1 species
UACGUAGGGCGCAAGCGUUGUCCGGAAUCAUUGGGCGUAAAGAGCUCGUAGGUGGUCUGUUACGUCUGCUGUGAAAUCCUAGGGCUUAACCCUGGGCCUGCAGUGGAUACGGGCAGACUAGAGGUAGGUAGGGGAGAAUGGAAUUCCCGAUGUAGCGGUGAAAUGCGCAGAUAUCGGGAGGAACACCGGUGGCGAAGGCGGUUCUCUGGGCCUUACCUGACACUGAGGAGCGAAAGCGUGGGGAGCGAACAGG